GCACUCGUAGCUCAAUUGGAUAGAGCAUCUGACUUCGGAUCAGAGGGUUGAGGGUUCGAGUCCUUCCGAGUGCGCCA
rnacentral:tRNA from 1 species